AAACUGCGAUAACUAGUGUGAAUUGCAGGAUUCAGUGAAUCAUCGAGUUCUCGAACGCACAUGGCGUGCCCGGGUACUCCCGAGCGCAUGCCUGUUUGAGUGUCAACCCCAAUACUUUGCCUCGCGCAAGUUUCUGGGCGCGUACACCCGCUGUACCCGCCUCAAAAUCUCCCAGCCGACGGCAGCGCACCCUCGCGGGGGGCGCGGCGCGGUGGCGGUAGGAUCCUCGCGAUCAGCCCACCAACCGCGGCGCGCCCCACACCGUGAGGCCCCCUGCGCACAAAGCGCCGUGUGGACCGUGGUCCAGGCGACACAGCAAGCUCUGACCUCAAAUCAGGCAAGACCACCCGCUGAAUUUAA
rnacentral:misc_RNA from 1 species